rnacentral:rRNA from 1 species
AGUGCAUGUGGUGGAUGCCUUGGCGAUCACAGGCGAUGAAGGACGCGGCAGUCUGCGAAAAGCCCCGGGGAGCUGACAACGAGCUUUGAUCCGGGGGUCUCCGAAUGAGGGAACUCCAAGCUUUAGCUUGAUCCAUGCGUGAAUACAUAGCGCAUGGAGGCGAACGCGGCGAACUGAAACAUCUCAGUAGCUGCAGGAAAAGAAAUCAACCGAGAUUCCGGAAGUAGCGGCGAGCGAAACCGGAACAGCCUGAAUUCGAUAUUGAGAAGAACACUGGAAGAGUCUGGAAAGGCUCGCCAUAGUGGGUGAUAGCCCCGUACGGGACGUUCAUCUCAAGGUACUGAGGAUUCGAAAAGUAGGUCGGGGCACGUGAAACCCUGGCUGAACAUGGGGGGACCAUCCUCCAAGGCUAAAUACUCGUGAUCGACCGAUAGCGUACUAGUACUGUGAAGGAAAGGUUAAAAGAACCCCGGGAGGGGAGUGAAAUAGAUUCUGAAACCGCAUGCAUACAAACAGUAGGAGCCCUUCGGGGUGACUGCGUACCUUUUGCAUAAUGGGUCAGCGACUUAUGUUAUGUGGCAAGCCUAACCGAUUAGGGGAGGCGCAGCGAAAGCGAGUCCGAACAGGGCGAUUCAGUCGCAUGGCAUAGACCCGAAACCAGAUGAGCUAACCAUGGCCAGGCUGAAGGUGUGGUAACACACACUGGAGGGCCGAACCUACUGGUGUUGCAAAACCAGAGGAUGAGCUGUGGUUAGGGGUGAAAGGCUUAACAAAUCUGGAGAUAGCUGGUUCUCCCCGAAAACUAUUGAGGUAGUGCCUUGCGCAUGAGCUUCUGGGGGUAGAGCACUGUUAUAGCUAGGGGGACAUGGCGUCUUACCAAACUAUGGCAAACUCCGAAUACCAGAAAGCUUCGCGCGGGAGACAGAGCACCGGGUGCUAACGUCCGGACUCAAAAGGGAAUCAACCCAGACCGCCAGCUAAGGUCCCUAAUAUCAGCUAAGUGGAAAACGAAGUGGAAAGGCUAAAACAGUCAGGAAGUUGGCUUAGAAGCAGCCAUCCUUCAAAGAAAGCGUAAUAGCUCACUGAUCGAGUCCUUCCGCGCGGAAGAUGUAACGGGGCUAAGUUGAUAACCGAAGCUGCGGAUUCACACUUUGAGUGUGAGUGGUAGGGGAGCGUUCUGUAAGCCUGUGAAGGUGGAUCGUAAGGUCUGCUGGAGGUAUCAGAAGUGCGAAUGCUGACAUGAGUAACGAUAAAGCGGGUGAAAAGCCCGCUCGCCGCAAACCCAAGGUUUCCUGCUCUACGUUAAUCGGAGCAGGGUGAGUCGGUUCCUAAGGCCAGGCUGAGAAGCGUAGCUGAUGGAAAUCAGGUUAAUAUUCCUGAACCGGCGUUGAAUGCGAUGGGGUGACGGAGCAGCCAGAGUGGACCGGGUGUUGGAUGUCCCGGCUUCCGAGCGAUGGGUGCCUGCAGGCAAAUCCGCAGGCGUAUACCCAGGACGAAGGAUCGGGCCUUCUUUUGAAGGCGAAGCCACUGGAAGCGCUUCCAGGAAAAACCUCUAAGCUUCAGUUCAACGGCGACCGUACCGUAAACCGACACAGGUGGGUGAGCUGAAUAUGCUCAGGCGCUUGAGAGAACUCGGGAGAAGGAACUCGGCAAAUUGACACCGUAACUUCGGAAGAAGGUGUGCCUUUGUAGCUUGACGGGAGAGAAACCCGGAGGGUGAAGAGGUCUCAGAGAAUCGGUGGCUGUAACUGUUUACUAAAAACACAGCGCUCUGCAAAGAUGAAAGUCGACGUAUAGGGCGUGAUGCCUGCCCGGUGCUGGAAGAUUAAUUGAUGGGGUGCAAGCUCCUGAUCGAAGUCCCAGUAAACGGCGGCCGUAACUAUAACGGUCCUAAGGUAGCGAAAUUCCUUGUCGGGCAAGUUCCGACCUGCACGAAUGGCAUAAUAAUGGCCACACUGUCUCCUCCCGAGACUCAGUGAAAUUGAAAUGUUUGUGAUGAUGCAAUCUCCCCGCGGCUAGACGGAAAGACCCCAUGAACCUUAACUGUAGCUUUGCCGCACUUCCUCUAUUCCUGCUCUGGUUACAUGGCGGCCAUGAGGCGGCCUUCGGCGGAGCGGACGUCCGGGCGGCGCUGGAGCAGAUCCGAAGGGAUGCCCGAGGGCACGUCCGGCGGCGGUGCCAGUUCGCCGAGCGUCCGGCCUUCCUGAAAGGCCCGCCCCGCCCCGUCCACGAUCCCGGCGGGGCUGAACCCCGCGAGCACCGCAAGCGCGCCUUCGCAGCGGAUGCGCCGUUCCUCCAGAUCGUACAACUGCGCCUGCGUCUUGUCGCGUUCCGCCGCGAACCGCCGCAGCGUGGUUUCCGGCGACUGCCCGAGGCGGUAGCGCGUCUCAUAGACCUUGCACGUCCGCUCGUAGGACUUGAGCAUGUCGGCGGCGAUCCGUUCCUGCUCCUGCAAGGUGCGGAGCUGGAAAUACGCCAGCGCGGUUUCCGAGGCCACCGCCAGCCGGAUCGUGUCGCGGGCGGCUUCGGUCGACAGCAGCUCGGCGCGGGCGGCCUCGUCCAGACGGCGGUACUUGCCCCACAGGUCAAGCUCGAAGCUCAGGAACCCGACCGCCUUGUACGCCUCCUGCGUCCGCGAGGCGUAGUGGUGCGCGAGCUCCUCCCCUUCCGUCAUCAGGCGCUUGCCG